CACUUAAGUUUGAUUCUUCGGAUGAAGACUUUUGUGACUGAGCGGCGGACGGGUGAGUAACGCGUGGGUAACCUGCCUCAUACAGGGGGAUAACAGUUAGAAAUGACUGCUAAUACCGCAUAAGACCACGGUACCGCAUGGUACAGUGGUAAAAACUCCGGUGGUAUGAGAUGGACCCGCGUCUGAUUAGGUAGUUGGUGGGGUAACGGCCUACCAAGCCGACGAUCAGUAGCCGACCUGAGAGGGUGACCGGCCACAUUGGGACUGAGACACGGCCCAGACUCC
rnacentral:rRNA from 1 species